UACGAAGGGUGCAAGCGUUAAUCGGAAUUACUGGGCGUAAAGCGUGCGUAGGCGGUUUGUUAAGUCUGCUGUGAAAUCCCCGGGCUCAACCUGGGAAUGGCAGUGGAUACUGGCAAGCUAGAGUGUGUCAGAGGAUGGUGGAAUUCCCGGUGUAGCGGUGAAAUGCGUAGAGAUCGGGAGGAACAUCAGUGGCGAAGGCGGCCAUCUGGGACAACACUGACGCUGAGGUGCGAAAGCGUGGGGGAGCAAACAGG
rnacentral:rRNA from 1 species